AAUCGAUUGCCUGAGACCUCUGGAAUUUCAACUGAAGGCAGAAGGAUAAUUGAUUAUCAACGGUAAAAUUUAAAUUUUGUGACCGUUUUAUUACCGUUUGAAAGCCAAAAAUUCAGCUCUUUUAAUUGCUCAAGGGUCUUCAAGACCUCUUCACUAUAAAUAGGUGAAAUCCUUUGACUAUCCUCACAUCACAAGCAAUUUCCUCUCAAAAUUCACUUCAAAAAACUCAUAAAUCGUUGCAAAUUUUCUGUUGCUCUUCAUAAAAUGGCUGGUAAAAGCUCAAAAAGAGCACGCUCCGGAAAGAACGUUGCCUCAUCUUCCGUUCCUCCUCCUCCGUCUGUCCAUAACUACAAGGA
rnacentral:lncRNA from 1 species